CAAUAGCGUAUAUUAAAGUUGUUGCAGUUAAAAAGCUCGUAGUUGGAUUUGUGGCGUACGGUGUGUUCCGGGCACUUGUUGUCUGAGUAACCUGCUGUUGCCAUCCUUGGGUGGAACCUGUGUGGCAUUAGGUUGUCGUGCAGGGGAUGCCCAUCAUUUACUGUGAAAAAAUUAGAGUGUUCAAAGCAGGCUUAUGCCGUUGAAUAUAUUAGCAUGGAAUAAUGAGAUAGGACUUUUUUGCUAUUUUGUUGGUUUGCGCAAAGAGGUAAUGAUUAAUAGGGACAGUUGGGGGUAUUCGUAUUCCAUUGUCAGAGGUGAAAUUCUUGGAUUUUUGGAAGACGAACUACCGCGAAAGCAUUUACCAAGGAUGUUUUCAUUAA
rnacentral:rRNA from 1 species